AGUGGCGGACGGGUGAGUAACGCGUGGGUAACCUGCCUUAUACAGGGGGAUAACAGUCAGAAAUGACUGCUAAUACCGCAUAAGCGCACAGAGCUGCAUGGCUCGGUGUGAAAAACUCCGGUGGUAUGGGAUGGGCCCGCGUCUGAUUAGGCAGUUGGCGGGGUAACGGCCCACCAAACCGACGAUCAGUAGCCGGCCUGAGAGGGCGACCGGCCACAUUGGGACUGAGACACGGCCCAAACUCCUACGGGAGGCAGCAGUGGGGAAUAUUGCACAAUGGGGGAAACCCUGAUGCAGCGACGCCGCGUGAGCGAAGAAGUAUUUCGGUAUGUAAAGCUCUAUCAGCAGGGAAGAUAAUGACGGUACCUGACUAAGAAGCCCCGGCUAACUACGUGCCAGCAGCCGCGGUAAUACGUAGGGGGCAAGCGUUAUCCGGAUUUACUGGGUGUAAAGGGAGCGUAGACGGCAAGGCAAGUCUGAUGUGAAAACCCAGGGCUUAACCCUGGGACUGCAUUGGAAACUGUCUGGCUCGAGUGCCGGAGAGGUAAGCGGAAUUCCUAGUGUAGCGGUGAAAUGCGUAGAUAUUAGGAAGAACACCAGUGGCGAAGGC
rnacentral:rRNA from 1 species